rnacentral:rRNA from 1 species
UACAUAGGUCUCAAGCGUUGUUCGGAUUCAUUGGGCGUAAAGGGCGUGUAGGUGGCGCCGUAAGUCAGGUGUGAAAUUUCGGAGCUCAACUCCGAAACUGCAUUUGAUACUGCGGUGCUUGAGGACUGGAGAGGAGACUGGAAUUUACGGUGUAGCAGUGAAAUGCGUAGAUAUCGUAAGGAAGACCAGUGGCGAAGGCGGCUCACUGGCCCGGUACUGACGCUGAGGUGCGAAAGCGUGGGGAGCAAACAGG